rnacentral:rRNA from 1 species
AAGUUAGCGGCGGACGGGUGAGUAACACGUGGGCAACCUGCCUGUAAGACUGGGAUAACUUCGGGAAACCGGAGCUAAUACCGGAUAAUCCUUUUCUACUCAUGUAGAAAAGCUGAAAGACGGUUUACGCUGUCACUUACAGAUGGGCCCGCGGCGCAUUAGCUAGUUGGUGAGGUAACGGCUCACCAAGGCGACGAUGCGUAGCCGACCUGAGAGGGUGAUCGGCCACACUGGGACUGAGACACGGCCCAGACUCCUACGGGAGGCAGCAGUAGGGAAUCUUCCGCAAUGGACGAAAGUCUGACGGAGCAACGCCGCGUGAGUGAUGAAGGUUUUCGGAUCGUAAAACUCUGUUGUUAGGGAAGAACAAGUACGAGAGUAACUGCUCGUACCUUGACGGUACCUAACCAGAAAGCCACGGCUAACUACGUGCCAGCAGCCGCGGUAAUACGUAGGUGGCAAGCGUUGUCCGGAAUUAUUGGGCGUAAAGCGCGCGCAGGCGGUCCUUUAAGUCUGAUGUGAAAGCCCACGGCUCAACCGUGGAGGGUCAUUGGAAACUGGGGGACUUGAGUGCAGAAGAGAAGAGUGGAAUUCCACGUGUAGCGGUGAAAUGCGUAGAGAUGUGGAGGAACACCAGUGGCGAAGGCGACUCUUUGGUCUGUAACUGACGCUGAGGCGCGAAAGCGUGGGGAGCAAACAGG